GUACGGGAGGCAGCAGUGGGGAAUAUUGCACAAUGGGCGGAAGCCUGAUGCAGCGACGCCGCGUGAGGGAUGACGGCCUUCGGGUUGUAAACCUCUUUCAGCAGGGACGAAGCGUGAGUGACGGUACCUGCAGAAGAAGCGCCGGCCAACUACGUGCCAGCAGCCGCGGUAAGACGUAGGGCGCGAGCGUUGUCCGGAUUUAUUGGGCGUAAAGAGCUCGUAGGCGGCUUGUCGCGUCGUCCGUGAAAACCUGCAGCUCAACUGCAGGCUUGCGGUCGAUACGGGCAGGCUAGAGUUCGGUAGGGGAGACUGGAAUUCCUGGUGUAGCGGUGAAAUGCGCAGAUAUCAGGAGGAACACCGGUGGCGAAGGCGGGUCUCUGGGCCGAUACUGACGCUGAGGAGCGAAAGCGUGGGGAGCGAACAGGAUUAGAUACCCUGGU
rnacentral:rRNA from 1 species